rnacentral:rRNA from 1 species
GACGGAAGGUGCAAGCGUUGCUCGGAAUCACUGGGCGUAAAGGGUGCGUAGGCGGCUGUGCAAGUCUGGCGUGAAAGCCCCGGGCUCAGCCCGGGAAGUGCGCUCGAAACUGCACGGCUCGAGUGCCGGAGGGGAGAGUGGAAUUCCUGGUGUAGCGGUGAAAUGCGUAGAUAUCAGGAGGAAUACCGGUGGCGAUAGCGACUCUCUGGACGGCAACUGACGCUGAGGCACGAAAGCGUGGGGAGCAAACGGG